rnacentral:rRNA from 1 species
GUCUAUGGCCAUACCACCCUGAACGUGCCCAAUCUUGUCUGAUCUUUGAAGCUAAGCAGGGCCGGGCCUGGUUAGUACUUGGAUGGGAGAAUUACAGGGUAUAGGUA